UACGGAGGGUGCAAGUGUUAUCCGGAAUCACUGGGUUUAAAGGGUGCGUAGGCGGGAAGAUAAGUCAGAGGUGAAAGCUCGUCGCCUAACGACGGAAUUGCCUUUGAUACGGUUUUUCUUGAAAUAUGUUGAGGUUGGCGGAAUGAGACAUGUAGCGGUGAAAUGCUUAGAUAUGUCUUAGAACACCGAUUGCGGAGGCAGCUGACUGGACAUUAUUUGACGCUGAGGCACGAAAGCGUGGGGAUCAAACAGG
rnacentral:rRNA from 1 species